rnacentral:rRNA from 1 species
GACGAACGCUGGCGGCGUGCUUAACACAUGCAAGUCGAACGGCAAGGCCCUGCUUUUGUGGGGUGCUCGAGUGGCGAACGGGUGCGUAACACGUGAGUAACCUGCCCUUGACUUUGGGAUAACUUCAGGAAACUGGGGCUAAUACCGGAUAGGAGCUCCCGCUGCAUGGUGGGGGUUGGAAAGUUUCGGCGGUUGGGGAUGGACUCGCGGCUUAUCAGCUUGUUGGUGGGGUAGUGGCUUACCAAGGCUUUGACGGGUAGCCGGCCUGGGAGGGUGACCGGCGACAUGGGUACUGAGAUACGGCCCAGACUGCAACGGGAGGCAGCAGUGGGGAAUAUUGCACAAUGGGCGGAAGCCGGAUGCAGCAACGCCGCGUGUGGGAUGACGGCCUGCGGGUUGUAAACCGCAUUCGCCUGUGACGAAGCUGGAGUGACGGUAAUGGGUAAAGAAGCACCGGCUAACUACGUG